GGGGGUGCGCCGAAGUGGGAGAGUCGGGGCGGUCUGUAAAACCGUUGCAUCAUGCUGAGCAGGCUCGUAUCCUGUCACCCUCA
rnacentral:tRNA from 1 species